AGUCCCGGGGCUUACCCGGGUGCAGAGAGCGAGGAGCACCAAGGCGAGGCUGAUGGGACCUGCGACGGAGGCGAGCAUGAUCGGGACGCGGUAGGAGGAUGCACAGCAGGGUGCAGAGGCGACGAGAGGCGCGGCCGGAGCCUGGAUUCGGACAGGGGCGGAGAACCCUGUGCAAUAUGCACUGUGUGUGAAGACAGCAGAUCAUAGGGACCUUGGAGAUCAUUCAGCGGAAACAUGAGACCACCCCCUUCAGAGUAUACAAGGUGGAAGACAGCGCCGAUGGGGUGUGGCUUCCUGCUCUGAUAACCUCAAGAACCAGGAGCUCAUCUUUCAAGUCAUUCCAGAUCCGAACAAAUUGGCAAGUGAGAUCAGUCAUCACAACAUUCAAGCAUGAAGAAGGAAUAUAACAACAUUUGAAGCAAAUAAUGUGGAGAAAAACACAAAAAUAUGUGUUCAACAUAAAGAAAAUAACUUAAACUGGAAAACUCAGCUGCACGUCCAUAGCAUGGAUGAUGAUGGUCAUGGGAAUAGAUUUCAGCAGAUUCUCACCCUAAACCUAAACACCAGUGACAUGGGUCCUGAACCUGCAUUAGUCCUGAGCUUGUAGCAAUUGCACACUUGCUCCUCUAGUGUGCAAAAGAAACUCCUGGGAGAGGCACAGAAUGAGAUGCUUGGUGAAUAGUCGUCUCGUCAGGUCUUCGUUGCAACAGUGCAAGUCUGUGACCAUUCUUGGUCACGGAUGUCAAUGGAAACUCUGUGAAUAAAGAUCACAUCUGAUUUUUAUCAUACUGAGCUAAUAGACUUUCCUUCUUGUCAUGGUAUAAAUAAAAAUACUGUCUCAUUUGGAUU